GUGUGUCAGUGCUGUGUGUAAGUUGACUAUACAAAAACAAAUUGUAAGAAAAAUGUGAUUUAAAUUUACAAAAGGAGAUAGUAACACGAUAAAAUGGGGUGGCAGGUAGCCUAGUGGUUAGAGACAGGUAGCCUAGUGGUUAGAGCAGGUAGCCUAGUGGUUAGAGCAGGUAGCCUAGUGGUUAGAGCAGGUAGCCUAGUGGUUAGAGCAGGUAGCCUAGUGGUUAGAGCAGGUAGCCUAGUGGUUAGAGACAGGUAGCCUAGUGGUUAGAGCAGGUAGCCUAGUGGUUAGAGGCAGGUAGCCUAGUGGUUAGAGACAGGUAGCCUAGUGGUUAGAGACAGGUAGCCUAGUGGUUAGAGACAGGUAGCCUAGUGGUUAGAGACAGGGAGCCUAGUGGUUAGAGACAGGUAGCCUAGUGGUUAGAGCAGGUAGCCUAGUGGUUAGAGCAGGUAGCCUAGUGGUUAGAGCAGGUAGCCUAGUGGUUAGAGACAGGUAGCCUAGUGGUUAGAGACAGGUAGCCUAGUGGUUAGAGACAGGUAGCCUAGUGGUUAGAGACAGGUAGCCUAGUGGUUAGAGACAGGUAGC
ensembl:lncRNA